rnacentral:rRNA from 1 species
UUGAUUACGUCCCUGCCCUUGUACACACCGCCCGUCGCUGCCCGGGACUGAGCCAUUUCGAGAAAUGUGGGGAUUGCUGGUUGGUUGUCUUCACGGAUGACCUUCUAGUGAGAACCAACUUAAUCGCAGUGGCUUGAACCGGGCAAAAGUCGUAACAAGGUAGCUGUAGGUGAACCUGCUGCUGGAUCAUUAACGAU